GCUUGAGCACGUAGGUGGGUUUGUAAGUCAGAUGUGAAAGCCUUCUGUUCAACGGAAGAAUUGCAUCUGAAACUGCUAAUCUUGAGUAUAGGAGGGGAGAAUGGAACUUCUGGUGGAGCGGUGAAAUGCGUAGAUAUCAGAAGGAACGCCGGCGGCGAAAGCGAUUCUCUGGCCUAUUACUGACACUCAGUGUGCGAAAGCUAGGGGAGCAAACGGGAUUAGAUACCCCGGUAGUCCUAGCCGUAAACGAUGGGCACUAAGUAGAGGGGAUUACCUAUGUUCUCUCUGCCGUAGCUAACGCAUUAAGUGCCCCGCCUGGGGAGUACGGCCGCGAGGCUAAAACUCAAAAGAAUUGACGGGGGCUCGCACAAGCGGUGGAGCAUGUGGCUUAAUUCGAUGCAACGCGAAAAACCUUACCGGGGCUUGACAUGAUAGAAGUAGGAACCUGAAAGGGGGACGAACGGUAUCCAGUCCGUAGCUAUUACAGGUGUUGCAUGGCUGUCGUCAGCUCGUGUCGUGAGACGUUGGGUUAAGUCCCCUAACGAGCGAAACCCUUGUUUUUAGUUACCAGCGGGUUAUGCCGGGUACUCUAGAAAGACUGCCGUCGUCAAGACGGAGGAAGGUGGGGAUGACGUCAAGUCAUCAUGGCCCUUAUGCCCCGGGCUGCACACGUGCUACAAUGGUCGGUACAGACGGAAGCGAAGCCGAGAGGUGAAGCGAAUCCAAGC
rnacentral:rRNA from 1 species